rnacentral:rRNA from 1 species
ACUCCUACGGGUGGCUGCAGUGGGGAAUCUUCCGCAAUGGACGAAAGUCUGACGGAGCAACGCCGCGUGAGUGAUGACGGCCUUCGGGUUGUAAAGCUCUGUUAAUCGGGACGAAUGGUUCUUGUGCAAAUAGUGCGAGGAUUUGACGGUACCGGAAUAGAAAGCCACGGCUAACUACGUGCCAGCAGCCGCGGUAAUACGUAGGUGGCAAGCGUUGUCCGGAAUUAUUGGGCGUAAAGCGCGCGCAGGCGGAUUGGUCAGUCUGUCUUAAAAGUUCGGGGCUUAACCCCGUGAUGGGAUGGAAACUGCCAAUCUAGAGUAUCGGAGAGGAAAGUGGAAUUCCUAGUGUAGCGGUGAAAUGCGUAGAUAUUAGGAAGAACACCAGUGGCGAAGGCGACUUUCUGGACGAAAACUGACGCUGAGGCGCGAAAGCCAGGGGAGCGAACGGGAUUAGAUACCCCGGUAGUCCUGGCCGUAAACGAUGGGUACUAGGUGUAGGAGGUAUCGACCCCUUCUGUGCCGGAGUUAACGCAAUAAGUACCCCGCCUGGGGAGUACGACCGCAAGGUUGAAACUCAAAGGAAUUGACGGGGGCCCGCACAAGCGGUGGAGUAUGUGGUUUAAUUCGACGCAACGCGAAGAACCUUACCAGGUCUUGACAUUGAUGGACAGAACUAGAGAUAGUUCCUCUUCUUCGGAAGCCAGAAAACAGGUGAUGCAUGGAUGUCGUCAGCUC